CAAAAAAAAAACAUAUUUGCAGAAUAAUGGCUAACACUUCUCUUCUUCACUCUUUGAUAUCUCCAUCUUCUCAAAAUCGAUUUCGCCGCCGUAGUACUCCAGCUGAAUCCAAGCACCAAAUGGAAGUCGAUUAACCCAAGCAUCGUCUUCAACGUAUUCACUAAAAUCAGCUAUCCACUCCUCUCACGAUCUCCAUUACUUUCUUUAACUUUUUGUGGGAAUCUUCGAAUAUAUAUAAAUAAGUCCCUAUCCCUUGAAAUUCAUCAUUACAAUCCUCUCAAUCUUAUGUUUUUCUAAACUGUCAGCAAUAAGAAUGUCUAAGAUAGUUCACCAACAAAUUCACGUAAAGGUUUUAUUCCAAUAGAAAAUGCUGCACGAAAGCUAUUGAGAUCAACAAGAGCUUGCAAUUUUUUCCAGGAGCUUCGAUUCAACCUUUUAAAAGACGCUGUCAAGGAAGGUAUAUUUCAUUUCCAGGUAGCGUUUCCACAAGCAAUCUUAAUGACCAUCAACAUCGUCCAUGACUAGCAGAGGAGUAUAGUUCCAAUUCUAACGCAAAAAGUUCAAGCUCAAAAGGAGCACACAGUGUUUGAGCGGAUAUACACUAGCAGACUAGCUGAGUAACUUGCAAAGUGAAUGGUUAAAAGUGUGAAAGUAUGAAUGUGGCAGUCGAAGAUGGAAAGAAAGUGGAGGAUAUGAUGCUUCUUAUCAACCAUGUUUUUGAAUUGGAUGAAUGAUUUUAUUGGUGAUGGAAAAGAAGCUACUAUAGUCAAUGCACUUCUGGAUCUGUUGAUCAAUGUAAACGCAUUUCUAAUGCUGUCUGAGUCAGAGUUGCAGAGGAAUUCAAGAGCCACAUGCCCAAUGCUAUAUAAACUAUCUAUAUAAAUAAAAUUGUUACUUCUCUAAAGAGAGUGACACCUAAGUUUGUAUACACUCUUAA